GACGAACGCUGGCGGCGUGCCUAAUACAUGCAAGUUGAGCGCUGAAGGUUGGUACUUGUACCGACUGGAUGAGCAGCGAACGGGUGAGUAACGCGUGGGGAAUCUGCCUUUGAGCGGGGGACAACAUUUGGAAACGAAUGCUAAUACCGCAUAAAAACUUUAAACACAAGUUUUAAGUUUGAAAGAUGCAAUUGCAUCACUCAAAGAUGAUCCCGCGUUGUAUUAGCUAGUUGGUGAGGUAAAGGCUCACCAAGGCGAUGAUACAUAGCCGACCUGAGAGGGUGAUCGGCCACAUUGGGACUGAGACACGGCCCAAACUCCUACGGGAGGCAGCAGUAGGGAAUCUUCGGCAAUGGACGAAAGUCUGACCGAGCAACGCCGCGUGAGUGAAGAAGGUUUUCGGAUCGUAAAACUCUGUUGGUAGAGAAGAACGUUGGUGAGAGUGGAAAGCUCAUCAAGUGACGGUAACUACCCAGAAAGGGACGGCUAGCUACGUG
rnacentral:rRNA from 1 species